ACUAUUAUGCGAAAAAUAUCUAAAAGCUAAAACGGGAAAGGUAAAUUUGCAAGGGAAAAAGAAUGUAAAGCUUGCAAAAGAAAUAAAUAAAAUAAACAAUGUUAAGUGCUGGAAAAGAAAAUAAAAUAAAAUAAGCAAAAGCGUGAAAAGAAAAUUGGCAGAGCUUCGGCAAUAUGAGCAUGGAAAAACCCGGAGAGACUUUUAGGUUUUUGAGAUGGCUAUUUAUAAUAGUGUUGGUAACUGCUUUCC
rnacentral:lncRNA from 1 species